UACGUAGGGUGCGAGCGUUGUCCGGAAUUAUUGGGCGUAAAGAGCUUGUAGGCGGUUUGUCGCGUCUGCCGUGAAAAUCCGGGGCUCAACCCCGGACUUGCGGUGGGUACGGGCAGACUAGAGUGUGGUAGGGGAGACUGGAAUUCCUGGUGUAGCGGUGAAAUGCGCAGAUAUCAGGAGGAACACCGGUGGCGAAGGCGGGUCUCUGGGCCGUAACUGACGCUGAGGAGCGAAAGCGUGGGGGAGCGAACAGG
rnacentral:rRNA from 1 species